rnacentral:rRNA from 1 species
CAUUUUGAACUGCAUGGUUCGAAAUUGAAAGGCGGCUUCGGCUGUCACUUAUGGAUGGACCCGCGUCGCAUUAGCUAGUUGGUGAGGUAACGGCUCACCAAGGCAACGAUGCGUAGCCGACCUGAGAGGGUGAUCGGCCACACUGGGACUGAGACACGGCCCAGACUCCUACGGGAGGCAGCAGUAGGGAAUCUUCCGCAAUGGACGAAAGUCUGACGGAGCAACGCCGCGUGAGUGAUGAAGGCUUUCGGGUCGUAAAACUCUGUUGUUAGGGAAGAACAAGUGCUAGUUGAAUAAGCUGGCACCUUGACGGUACCUAACCAGAAAGCCACGGCUAACUACGUGCCAGCAGCCGCGGUAAUACGUAGGUGGCAAGCGUUAUCCGGAAUUAUUGGGCGUAAAGCGCGCGCAGGUGGUUUCUUAAGUCUGAUGUGAAAGCCCACGGCUCAACCGUGGAGGGUCAUUGGAAACUGGGAGACUUGAGUGCAGAAGAGGAAAGUGGAAUUCCAUGUGUAGCGGUGAAAUGCGUAGAGAUAUGGAGGAACACCAGUGGCGAAGGCGACUUUCUGGUCUGUAACUGACACU